UGAUUGCCCCUGCCUUCAUCCUGCUGGAUAAAACUGUCCUGACCGCCGUCCAUUUCAUCCGGUUUCAGCGGCUGUUCUGGGGCUGUGAGUUUCUUUAAGCAUUGGAGGCUGUGACCUCGGAGUAAACCUGCUUGGAUGUCAGUUUCCGGAAAGACCAGCAACUCUCUUGAAUGUUUUCCACUUGUAAACAAUCUGUCUCACUGCAAAGAAGAUGGCCUGGGAAUUGUUUGCAAAUUACCUUAUAACCCCCGGCAGAUUGACGCAGAGCAGCAAUUGCUUCUCUAAGUUCAGUGUUGAACCUUCUCCUCCUUGCCAUUGAGUUAACAGACACCUGAAGGCUACAGUGAAUAAAAGUUUU